CUUGACUGUAGCUUGGAAUUGGGUUCGGGCUCUUCUUGCGCAGCCUAGGUGGGGGGCGUUGAAGGCUUUCUUUUGGGGAAGCUGGAGCCAUCAGUGAGAGACCACUCUGGAGGAGCUAGAAUUCUAAUGGCGUUCCUUGAAGCAGGACGCUUGACAUUUUCAGGUGGGCAGCUUGACUGGGGCGGUCACCUCCUAAAAGGUAACGGAGGUGUGCAAAGGUUCCCUCAGGCUGGACGGAAAUCAGCCGUAGAGUGUAAAGGCAGAAGGGAGCUUGACUGCAAGACCUACAAGUCGAGCAGGGGCGAAAGCCGGUCUUAGUGAUCCGACGGUUCCAUGUGGAAGGGCCGUCGCUCAACGGAUAAAAGUUA
rnacentral:rRNA from 1 species